rnacentral:rRNA from 1 species
GACGAACGCUGGCGGCGUGCUUAACACAUGCAAGUCGAACGGGAAGGCCCUGCUUGCAGGGUACUCGAGUGGCGAACGGGUGAGUAACACGUGGGUGAUCUGCCCUGCACUUCGGGAUAAGCCUGGGAAACUGGGUCUAAUACCGGAUAGGAGCCAUUUUUAGUGUGAUGGUUGGAAAGUUUUUUCGGUGUAGGAUGAGCUCGCGGCCUAUCAGCUUGUUGGUGGGGUAAUGGCCUACCAAGGCGGCGACGGGUAGCCGGCCUGAGAGGGUGGACGGCCACAUUGGGACUGAGAUACGGCCCAGACUCCUACGGGAGGCAGCAGUGGGGAAUAUUGCACAAUGGGCGCAAGCCUGAUGCAGCGACGCCGCGGGGGGGAUGACGGCCUUCGGGUUGUAAACUCCUUUCGCUAGGGACGAAGCUUUUUGUGACGGUACCUAGAUAAGAAGCACCGGCUAACUACGUG